ACACGUGGGUAGCUGCCCCUCGCAGAGGGAUAACCGGUGGGAAACCCCAGCUAAUACCUCGUACGCUUGCCGGGGUCGCAUGGCUCGGUAAGGAAAGGUAGCUUCGGCACAUCCGGCGAGGGAUGGGCCCGCGGUCCAUUAGCUAGUUGGUGGGGUAACGGCCCACCAAGGCGACGAUGGAUAGCUGGUCUGAGAGGAUGAUCAGCCACACUGGGACUGAGACACGGUCCAGACUCAUACGGGAGGCAGCAGUCGGGAAUCUUGCGCAAUGGGCGAAAGCCUGACGCAGCAACACCGUGUGGGCGACGAAGGCCUUCGGGUCGUAAAGCCCUGUUGUUGGGGACGAAGGACGAAGGGUUAAUAGCCCCUAGUCUGACGGUACCCUUCGAGGAAGCCCCGGUUAACUACGUGCCAGCCGCCGCGG
rnacentral:rRNA from 1 species